rnacentral:rRNA from 1 species
GACGAACGCUGGCGGCGUGCCUAAUACAUGCAAGUUGAGCGCUGAAGGUUGGUACUUGUACCAACUGGAUGAGCAGCGAACGGGUGAGUAACGCGUGGGGAAUCUGCCUUUGAGCGGGGGACAACAUUUGGAAACGAAUGCUAAUACCGCAUAAAAACUUUAAACACAAGUUUUAAGUUUGAAAGAUGCAAUUGCAUCACUCAAAGAUGAUCCCGCGUUGUAUUAGCUAGUUGGUGAGGUAAAGGCUCACCAAGGCGAUGAUACAUAGCCGACCUGAGAGGGUGAUCGGCCACAUUGGGACUGAGACACGGCCCAAACUCCUACGGGAGGCAGCAGUAGGGAAGCUUCGGCAAUGGGCGAAAGUCUGACCGAGCAACGCCGCGGGAGGGAAGAAGGGUUUCGGAUCGUAAAACUCUGUUGGUAGAGAAGAACGUUGGUGAGAGUGGAAAGCUCAUCAAGUGACGGUAACUACCCAGAAAGGGACGGCUAACUACGUG